UUUUUAUAAGCAAGAGCUGAAAAAUAGAUGCCGAAGGAAAAAGGUAGGUAUUUCAAGAAUAUUGCAUUGUACAGUACUGUAUAAAGCAUGACAUCAACGAUGGACAACAGAGACCUAUUUUUUCUUUUUGAAACAGGAUAUUCCCAGUAUCCACUACGAAGUACUUUGGCCUUGAUGUUACGAAAUUACAGAGAAACAAACGGAGAGACUAUUGGUAAGGGCCUCUAAAACGAAAUUGAUUUUCAUAAAGAGGUCAUAAUUAUAUUAUGCCCAACAUUUCUACCAUCCACGUGAACUAAAAGACUGAAUAACAGGUCCCAAUGUCUUGUCCACUGCUUUGUUCCAUAUGCGAGCAAGCUCUUGACGAGACCUUCUUCCAAAGAUAGGCUCGUGUGGCUGUGAUUGAGUCCGAAAAAUGGAUUCAUAAAUGCUCUUCCGUUGCUCAAAAAUCACAACUCCCGUUAAUAUGCUCCCAGCGCCGCGCCCAGCAGACGCUCCUGAGCUAGAACGCUGAUCAUGGCGGAUUGAAUCGAAUUUUCUAUCAGGGAACAAAUUUCGUGAUG
rnacentral:lncRNA from 1 species